UACGGGGGGGGCAAGCGUUGUUCGGAAUUACUGGGCGUAAAGGGCUCGUAGGCGGCCAACUAAGUCGGAUGUGAAAUCCCCAGGCUUAACCUGGGAACUGCAUCCGAUACUGGAUGGCUUGAGUCCGGGAGAGGUGAGUGGAAUUCCCAGUGUAGCGGUGAAAUGCGUAGAUAUUGGGAGGAACACCAGUGGCGAAGGCGGCUCACUGGACCGGUACUGACGCUGAGACGCGAAAGCCAGGGGAGCAAACGGG
rnacentral:rRNA from 1 species